AUCAAGUUUUUUUAAGAAACUUAUAAUUUUAUGACUAAUUUAUUUUGAUAAAUUUUUUUUUUUUUAUAUAUAUAUUAUUAGUCUAUAUUAAUUCAUGAGGCAUCCAAAAACGGAUCACGUAAUGGAGACGUUCUUCUAUUGGUUACAAAUCAAAGCGUUAAUGUUUUAUCGGAUCACUUAAUAUUGUUUCCUAAACCAAAUGAUGCAUUGCAUUUUAUUUAUAGAGUUUAGUAUUUUAAUGAAUCUGAUCCUUUGAUGCUUUGCUUUAUAAAUAAAACUUCAAUUUAGCUAUAACAGAAUAGGCAAACAGGGACACAAAAAUGUUGAUAUGCUACAUAGGGAUGUGGUUAUAAUAAUUAUGAUUACUAAUGGAUAAUACAUAUUUUCUUAUUAGGGGAUUUGAGGUUGAUUUUAUUGUUUUAGCUGGAUACCUCAAACUCAUACCAGUGUUGUUGAUCUAAGCUUAUGAAAAAUCUAUAUUAAACAUUGAUCCAUCACUUCUUCCAGCUUUUGGUGGCAAGGGGUACUAUGGUAUGAAGGUGCAUAAAUCAGUGAUUGCUUCUGGAGCAAGUUAGAUUUUCAGGUCCUACAAUCCAUUUUCUCAAUGAACACUACGACAAAAAGGACAUAUCCUUGCCCAGCGUGUUGUCCCUGUGCUUGCUAAUGAUGCUGCAGAUGAGUUGGCUGCAAGAGUUCUUAAGGAGCAUUAACUAUAUGUUGUAGAGGCUUUAUGUGAAGAUCGGGUUGUUUGGAGAAAAGGUGUUCCUCUCUUUCAAAGCAAAGAAAAACCAAAUGAGUUUCACUGAUUAUCAUUGGAAUGGUCUGAAAUUCACUUCUAAAUUCCUUUUAAUGUCAAGCUUUUUAUUUCUAUGUUUAUCAAUUCUACUUCACUUCUUGGCUUGCAUCUAAUUGGACUUCAUUUCUUGGCUUGCAUUUAAUAUUAAACCUUCCUUGAACAAAAGGAUUAUUUUACUGCUAGAGUUAGAUUCCCUAGCAGAGGGAACGAUGAAGCAUUAUAUCAGAUGUUAAACUCCUGAUCUGGAACUUGAUAACACAUGUUCUAAAUUGAGUGAUUUAUGCUCACAAGAGUCAAGACAUAAUUUUAUGGGAAAUUUCACAAAUUUUAUAUUAUUGGGUUAUUAUUUUUAAAGUUAAUGUCAAUUGAAUCAUUUUAUAAAGAUAUAUUUUUUUUAAAGUGCGUUGACUUUUUAAUAAGAUUGACUAAUAAUGAAGAAUGCCAUAAUGUUAUUUGUCAUUACAAAAUGAAAAAUUGAGUGGCUUAUCAUUUUAAUUCCUAUAAGUGUAGGAUAUUGUCAGGUUAGUCCCAAAGAAGAAAAAUUUGAAAACCUUAAUUUUUGAGUCAAUUUAACCAUAUGUUUAUGGUAUCUACACUGUCAGAUUUGUGAUGAUCAAACAACAUUACUUUUCUUUGUUUUGUAUAUCUAUAUUUAUACUUGAGUAAUUACAUGGUUAAGUCAUUGAAUAAAAAUGAAAACCUGAAAAUAUCUUAGAAUAUUACACAUACCCUAAAUUUAACACUGGCAAACUUCUGUUUGUUAAAUGAAAGAAAAUAAUUGUAGUUAUCAAUUAUAUUUUUCUCCAUGUGUUUUGUGUUCCAUCUGUUCAACGAAGCUCCUUCGAUAAUGAUACUACUCUAUUUGAUGCUUCUGUUUAACUUCUAUUAUGUAUAUUAAUGUAUAUGAUUUUGGGGAUAUGAUGUACUUUUUUGUCUUGAUCUUCUACUAUUUAAAUGACAACACCCUGUUUGUACUACUAAGUAUAUGUUUUUUUGGUGAAUGUUUAUUGAAGUAUAUAAUAACAUCUGAAAUUGGGGUGAUAGCAAAUAGAAACACCGAAUCAACUUUGCGAAAGGUAAAAUGCAAUAAGCAAAACACAUAAAGCUUGAGACCAUUAUUUUGAAUAUUAGAACUGUGGACAUGCAAUACUUCAUCUUCGUUUGUGAAAUGGUUGAGAUGGAGUAUAGAUUUUUA